GGAACAGUAGCAUAGCAGGUCUAUGCAGCAGACUGAAAAUCUGAAGAUACAGGUUCGAAUCCUGUCUGUUCCU
rnacentral:tRNA from 2 species